rnacentral:rRNA from 1 species
AACGAACGCUGGCGGCAUGCCUAACACAUGCAAGUCGAACGAGACCUUCGGGGCUAGUGGCGCACGGGUGCGUAACGCGUGGGAACCUGCCCUUAGGUUCGGAAUAACUCCCCGAAAGGGGUGCUAAUACCGGAUAAUGUCUUCGGACCAAAGAUUUAUCGCCUUUGGAUGGGCCCGCGUUGGAUUAGCUAGUUGGUAGGGUAAAAGCCUACCAAGGCGACGAUCCAUAGCUGGUCUGAGAGGAUGAUCAGCCACACUGGGACUGAGACACGGCCCAGACUCCUACGGGAGGCAGCAGUGGGGAAUAUUGGACAAUGGGCGAAAGCCUGAUCCAGCAAUGCCGCGUGAGUGAUGAAGGCCUUAGGGUUGUAAAGCUCUUUUACCCGCGAUGAUAAUGACAGUACCGGGAGAAUAAGCUCCGGCUAACUCCGU